rnacentral:lncRNA from 1 species
GGCCGUGGGGACAGACGUACGGUUGUUAAUACCGGAGCGCAUCAGUACUUUCCAGGGUUCCAAGAAAAGGUCAUCUGUAAGAGGAGUGACACAGAGCGAGCCAGCGCCAGCAAGAUGGGAACCAUCAGUGACAAGGACAGAGACCCUGCAUUGCUCGGGACGGGCAUUGCGACCGCAGUAUUGCUUCCAGCAACCGUGGUCGCCGGUCCCUUCGCACCGCUGGUUCUAACAAUUGGACUAGGAGCAGCUGCCGCCGGAUCCACAGCAGCAUUCGCUACCGUUGCGAGUCUGCCAAGCGAUAAAAAAAAGUAGCAGCAAUAUGCCGAGCCAUUAUCUGCUGGUGGUAUCCCAAGCUGUCAACGUAGUAAGCCGCCACAGCAUAAUUGCCUCGGCGCUGAUUUCCCAAGACGUCGUCUACUUCUCCUAGUUGUUGUUCUAGUAGUCACAGUAGGUGUGCAAAUGGUGGUGGGGUUAUUGCUUAAGCACUCAGUAACAGC